rnacentral:tRNA from 1 species
UGGCUCAGACUGUAAAGCGUCUGCCUAAAACGCAGGAGAUCCAGGUUCAAUCCCUGG